rnacentral:rRNA from 1 species
GAUGAACGCUGGCGGCGUGCCUAAUACAUGCAAGUCGAGCGAACAGACGAGGAGCUUGCUCCUCUGACGUUAGCGGCGGACGGGUGAGUAACACGUGGAUAACCUCCCUAUAAGACUGGGAUAACUUCGGGAAACCGGAGCUAAUACCGGAUAAUAUAUUGAACCGCAUGGUUCAAUAGUGAAAGACGGUUUUGCUGUCACUUAUAGAUGGAUCCGCGCCGCAUUAGCUAGUUGGUAAGGUAACGGCUUACAAAGGCAACGAUGCGUAGCCGACCUGAGAGGGUGAUCGGCCACACUGGAACUGAGACACGGUCCAGACUCCUACGGGAGGCAGCAGUAGGGAAUCUUCCGCAAUGGGCGAAAGCCUGACGGAGCAACGCCGCGUGAGUGAUGAAGGUCUUCGGAUCGUAAAACUCUGUUAUUAGGGAAGAACAAAUGUGUAAGUAACUAUGCACGUCUUGACGGUACCUAAUCAGAAAGCCACGGCUAACUACGUG